rnacentral:rRNA from 1 species
CUCAGGACGAACGCUGGCGGCGUGCUUAACACAUGCAAGUCGAACGAUGAACCACUUCGGUGGGGAUUAGUGGCGAACGGGUGAGUAACACGUGGGCAAUCUGCCCUGCACUCUGGGACAAGCCCUGGAAACGGGGUCUAAUACCGGAUACUGAUCAUCACGGGCAUCUGUGGUGUUCGAAAGCUCCGGCGGUGCAGGAUGAGCCCGCGGCCUAUCAGCUUGUUGGUGAGGUAAUGGCUCACCAAGGCGACGACGGGUAGCCGGCCUGAGAGGGCGACCGGCCACACUGGGACUGAGACACGGCCCAGACUCCUACGGGAGGCAGCAGUGGGGAAUAUUGCACAAUGGGCGAAAGCCUGAUGCAGCGACGCCGCGUGAGGGAUGACGGCCUUCGGGUUGUAAACCUCUUUCAGCAGGGAAGAAGCGAAAGUGACGGUACCUGCAGAAGAAGCGCCGGCUAACUACGUGCCAGCAGCCGCGGUAAUACGUAGGGCGCAAGCGUUGUCCGGAAUUAUUGGGCGUAAAGAGCUCGUAGGCGGCUUGUCGCGUCGGUUGUGAAAGCCCGGGGCUUAACCCCGGGUCUGCAGUCGAUACGGGCAGGCUAGAGUUCGGUAGGGGAGAUCGGAAUUCCUGGUGUAGCGGUGAAAUGCGCAGAUAUCAGGAGGAACACCGGUGGCGAAGGCGGAUCUCUGGGCCGAUACUGACGCUGAGGAGCGAAAGCGUGGGGAGCGAACAGGAUUAGAUACCCUGGUAGUCCACGCCGUAAACGGUGGGCACUAGGUGUGGGCAACAUUCCACGUUGUCCGUGCCGCAGCUAACGCAUUAA